GCAGAGUCGGCAGAAUUUGAACUCAAAACAUAAAAGCGGACGAAAUACCACUAAGCAUUUUGCUCUGCCUGUUCGCUGCCAUAUACAAGAGAAUAAUAUUCAUUGAUUUCCUCAUUCAAAUAAGAUAUACAUGAAAAUGCGAUCGUCUGAACAAUUAGAAUCAUUCCUCUGCAAGCUACCACUCCAUUUUGUCAAAAUAUAACAUUUAGCGUAGUGUGAGGUUAAGUAGUGUUAAAUUUCAACGAGUAUGAAGCAUGUUAUUCAAAAUGGUUUUGACCACCGUAAAUUUGCAUGACAACGGAAACGACUUUUCAAUAUAUUUUAUUUAAUUCACCGAAA